UACAGAGGGGGCAAGCGUUGUUCGGAAUUACUGGGCGUAAAGGGCGCGUAGGCGGCCUUCUAAGUCGAACGUGAAAUCCCCGGGCUCAACCCGGGAACUGCGUCCGAUACUGGAAGGCUUGAAUCCGGGAGAGGGAUGCGGAAUUCCAGGUGUAGCGGUGAAAUGCGUAGAUAUCUGGAGGAACACCGGUGGCGAAGGCGGCAUCCUGGACCGGCAUUGACGCUGAGGCGCGAAAGCGUGGGGAGCAAACGGG
rnacentral:rRNA from 1 species